AGGACGAACGCUGGCGGCGUGCUUAACACAUGCAAGUCGAGCGGUGAGGCCUUUCGGGGUACACGAGCGGCGAACGGGUGAGUAACACGUGGGUGAUCUGCCCUGCACUCUGGGAUAAGCCUGGGAAACUGGGUCUAAUACCGGAUAUGACCUGCUCUCGCAGUGGGGGUGGUAGAAAGUAUUUAGUUGGUGCAGGAUCGGGGCCCGCGGCCUAUCAGGUCUUGGUUGGUGGGUAAUCGGCCUACCGAAGGCGACGACGGGUAGCCGACCGUGAGAGGGUCGACCGGCCACGACGUGGGACUGGACGACCACGGCCCAGUACCUCCGUAACGGGAGGCAGGCGAGGUAGGGAAU
rnacentral:rRNA from 1 species